rnacentral:lncRNA from 1 species
AUAGAUAUUCAGAAUUGAGACUUUCUGUUGGUGGAUUUUCCCCUUGAUGAAUAUAAAGUGUCUUUCUUCAUCAUGCUUGAUAACUUUUGGUUUAAAGUCUAUAAUAUUGGCUAUUAGGAUGGCGACUCCUGCUUGUUUCCUUGGACCUUUCACUUGGAAGACCUUUUUCCAUCCUUUUACUCUGAGAUAGUGCCUGUCUUUUUGUCGAGAUGUAUUUCUUGUAUGCUGCAAAAUGCUGGAUUUUGUUUGCAUAUCCAGUCUGUUAGCUUAUGUCUUUUAUAGGUGAGUUGAGUCCAUUAAUAUUGAGAGAUAUUAAAGAGAGAUGACAGUUGAUUCCUGACAUGUUUGUUUUUGUUUGUGGUUUUAUGUGCUUGUGGCUCUCUGCUUUUGACUUUGUUGUGAGAUGCUUAAUAUUGUAUCCUUUUUUUGGUACAGGUAUCUUCCUUGUGUUGGAGUUUUCCUUCCAGGAUUCUCUGUAAGACUGGGUUGGUAGAUACUGUGUGAAUUUGUUUGUGUCCUGGAAUAUUUUGUUUUCUCCAUCUAUGUUGAUUGAGAGUUUGUCUGGUUAUAGCAGCCUUUGCUGGCAUUUGCGUUCUCUGAGAGAUUGCAUGACCUCUGACCAGGCUCUUCUGACUUUCAUUGUCUCUGUUGAGAAGUCUGGUGUAAUUCUUAUAGGUCUACCUUUGUUUGUUACUUGGCCUUUUUCCCUUGCAGCUUUUAAUAUUCUUUCUUUGCUCUGUGCAUUUAGUGUUUUAAUAAUUAUGUUACAAGAAGAUUUUCUUUUCUGAUCACAUUUAUUUGGUGUCCCAUUGGCUUCGUAUACCUUUAUGUCCAUCACUUUCUUUAAGUUGGGGAAGUUUUCUUCUAUGAUUUUGUUGAAGAUAUUUUCAGGUCCUUUGAGCUGGGAAUCUUCAUUCUCCUCUAUUCUGAUUUUUUAGAUUUGUUCUUUUCAUUGUGUCCUAAAAUUCCUGGAUGCUUUGGAUUAGGAGUUUUUUAUGUUUAGAAAUUUCUUUGACAGUUGUGUCAAUCUCUUCUACUGUACUUUCUACACCUGAAAUUCUUUCUUCCAUCUCUUAUAUUCUGUUGGUAAUACUUACAUCAGUAAUUCCUGACCUCUUUCCUAGGUUUUCCAUUUCCAGGUUUGCCUCCAUUUGUGUUUUCUUUAUUGUUUCUACUUCCACUUUUAGGUCUUGGAUCACUUUAUUCAAUUCCUUCUCGUGUUUACCUGUGUUUUUCUGUAUUUCUUUCAGUGAGUUAUUGAUAUCUUCCUUAAAGGACACUAUUAUCUUCAAGAGAUGGUAUUUUAGGACAGAUUCCUGAUUUUCAUGUGCAUUGGUGUAUCCAGUGCUUGCUGAGGUGGUAGAACUGGGUUCUGAUGAUGUCUACAUAUUUUGGUUUCUGCUGCUUAUAGCCCUGUGCUUUCCUUUCGCCAUCUGGAUAUCCCUGCUGUUUGUUGAUCUGGGUGACUGUAUGGAGUCUGGCUCUUUUGUCCCUUGGGUGUUUCAGAUCUCCUGGUAGGCUUGCUGCCCUGGCUAUAUCAGAGCACCUGUGGGGCCUUCCUAUUGGGGGCUCUUCACAGGGGCAGAGAAGCUGCUGAUCUGUUGCCCUGGCUGCAGUAGACCUCCUGGGAGGCCUUUAGACUGUUGGGUCUUCCUUGGAGCAGUCAAGCUGCUGUCCAACUGCACUGAGUGUAGCUGACACUCAUCUUUCCUGAGAGCAGCAGGUCCUCAAUUUAUCUGAGUGAAGAGGGUCCUCAACUGCUCAACUGCACUGAGCUCAGGGGUUCCUCUACUGCUCUGAGUACAGCAGGUCCUCUGGGAUGUAUGGAGAUAUGGAGUCUUCAGGUGUUUAUGAAUUCCCUAUAGUGUCACCGUCUCUUCCCAUCUGUGCACUGAUGUCCCAGAAUUCACACACUCCACAGAUAACCAUGGCUGCCCAAGGGAGAAUCUACUAUUGCCAAACUACUGAUUGCAUGUUGAAGCUGGAGCAGAUUGAUAGGAGAAGAUGACAACAGUGUUUUCUGAAUGAUUUGUGGUAAACAUUGAAGUGACGGUUAAAACUUCACAUAUGUGUAUUUAGAGUUUUGGAUGACAUUAAUGUCUUGUAUACAGUUUGUUCCAUGACUGAGAAAUAAUAUAUAAAGUAAUUUUAUUAAC